rnacentral:lncRNA from 1 species
ACUGAAUAUUUUGCAAAAUGAAAGUAUACGAGGUCUAAUGACUAAAGCAUGAGUAUUGCGAACGGUUCAGCGACUUAAUGAGCAAGGUAAUCCUGAUUAACCUAUACUAAUAGCACACAACAGCAGAAUACUCUUCGGUCUUCCCUUGGAAUUAAUUCUGGUCACAUGUCAGACCUACACUACUCAUACAAAUCAACACUGCAAAUUACAGCAGCUCAAUUACGUAUAGAGAAUCAGACAUCAACAGAUUCAAUUAUGCAAGUUUACGCCAAACAAUGGCUUGCACGCACGCUUGAGGAUCAGAAGAGUUCAGAACUGGCAGCAGCACAGAGCUACAGGCUGUUCGUCAGCGACGGCAACGGGACGUCCAUCGGGUUUCUCCACGAUCAGGUUCUGCACCUCUGAGCAGUACCCCGCAGCAGCCGCCGCCCGUCCACCCAUCUUCGUUAUGCGUGCAUCCCAUCGUGCCCCGCCACAGGUGCCGCCAUGGCGCCAUCAGCGCACCUGACGCCCGCGCGCUCCAUGGGGAAGUCGAUCUCGCCCGCCGCCCGCCGUCACCUAACCCGUCCGCGUCACAGCACGGGCCUGGCCUCCCCCGCGAGCAGGGGUGGACCUAGGGUAGAAUUUAAGAGGGGGCGCACCUUAAGAACUGCUAGAUCAAUGGAGCUUGAGUAUGGUGAAAAAUUAGUUUUUACCUUGGCGUCCAAAUUCUGAGUGAGGGCCUGUGCCCUCUCAGAAAAAAUUGUACUGCUGCUGCUUGUUGAUUGGCUGUACAGCCGUAGCCAAACAGCUGCAACAAGCAGAAAUGAGCAGGCUUAAUGUGGGUUCACCCCUGCCGGUGAGGUGUGGCUAUCCUCGCCCUCAAGUCUCGAUACCUCACGCGCAGCCGCUAU